UCUGCAAAUCACAUAACGCUGGUUUGCAAAGUGAUGUGUAAUUCCUACCGGAAUCCAGCCAGAAUUAGGAAAUCAAACAGAUGGAAUUUUUAUUCACCUGCAACCUGCUUUGAGAAUGACUGCUAGGGUUUGGAACAUUUUGGAGGAGACUACCUAAACCAUUACAUUUUGAAUUAAUCUCACAAUUCACCACAAAUGUAUUUCUAUUGGCAAUCAGGAAAUUCGUAGCCAUUAAAGGAAUCUGUAGGUUUAUCAAUUCUUACAACAGAAAAACCUUUAAAACGGGCAGAACAAGAUAUAGAAGGCAUUUUUUGACGAAUGGAAAAAAGACGCAAGAGUUGUUCCCGGCCAAGAAGAUAACAUGGUAGCAGAUUGUGGAAAAAGCAGUAUGGUGGGGCGAAAUAUACGAGCAAAUGGUGAGAACGGUAAAAAUGUGCGGAGUUUGUUGUGCACAAAGACAAAAUCCCACGUCAUAUGUGGAAGACGGUAUGUGUGGAAGAGGUGUUCACAGGAAGAGAUAGACACGCUCAUGUAGCAUCCGAAUGCCAUCGAACACUCUCUAAAGAGACCCAUUCAAUUGAUAUACUUGCUCGAACUGGACUAAUGGGUGAACAUGGAGAGGGCCCAGUUGAUCGGGCCGGAGUUUGUUGCAGCUAUUUCAGAGCGCCGCUGCAGGCGGACACACCCAGUCCUCAACUGUCGUCAUUAAGAAGAGAUUACACACACCUGGGAAUGAACUGAGGACUCUGACUAGAGAAAUGUUUGGCUGCAGGAACAGCCUCAAUUCGUCGGGACAUGGACUCUACGAGGUGCCGAAAGAGUUCCACAGAGAUGCUGGGCCAUGUUGACUCCAAUGCUUCCCACAGAGGUGCCAAGUUGGUUGGAUGUCCUUUGGGUGAAACUGUUGGUAGUGAAAAACCCAGCAGUGUUGCAGUUCUGGAUAAACACACAAACCAGUGGCACCUACUACCAUACUCUGUUCCAAGGCACUUAAAUAUUUUGUCUUGCCCAUUCACCUUCUGAAUGACACAAAUACACCAUCCAUGUCUCAAUUCUCUCAAGACUUAGAAAUCUUUCUUUAACCGGUCUCCUCCCCUUCAUCUACACUGAUUGAAGUGGAUUUAACAGGUGACAUCAAUAAGGGAUCAUAGCUUUCACCUGGAUUCACCUGGUCAGUCUGUCAUGGAAAGAGCAGGUGUUCCUAAUGUUUUGUACUUUCAGUGCAUAGUGCACUAGUUUUGAGCCCUAGUUUGUACCCUAAUACAGUGGCCUGAAACUCAUGGUUUACAGGACACAUCAAGCAAGUAAGGUUUCAAAAUUCUGGUAACUGUCCAGAUUUCCUGCUUAUUCCCUCCCAUUUCCAGGAAUCUUCCACCUGGGAUUUCUGGAAGAGCUGAGAAUUUGGGGAAAGUUGACAGAAUUACCCUACAUAUACCUUCAUGUCCCAGUGUUCUGUCUUGGAAAGUGUAAUUCCUAUCGGAAUCCAGCCAGAAUUAGGAUAUUCAACAUUCAGAGUGACUGGCAACGUUAGGAGGCGACUACCUAAGCCAUUUAAACUGGAACGACCAUUUUAGUAACGGUUGCUAAAAAAUCCAACUAACUGAUUUAUAUGAAAAAUGUUGUUUUUCAUGCAAAACAAACAGGUAGGCAAAACAAUUUCAAAAAUCAACAUGCAGUAGAGCAUUCUGGGAAAUACCAUAAUGAUCAUGGUACAAAUAUGCCUUUUAGGGUACCACCGCAGUGACAAAGCUGUUAGUUCCUUUUAGUGGCAAAAAAAGUAAUACAUGUAUUAUGGGUGUGUAUUGAGUGUACACAAAAUAUGUUUGUUCCCUGGAAAACAGAAAUGUACCUUCACCGUAGAGUGUGAUGAUUGUACCUUUCAUGUGCAAAAUAUUGGGUAUAAUAUUGGGUAUAAUUUUUUACCCUUUAUACUAGAUUAUCCGUAUAUGUACCCUAAAGGUAUCGAAUUGUACCAUGUGAAAUCAUAUGUACUUCUGAAGGUACAUGAUGUGUAUUUUGAUAUUUCUUGUACCCCAGGGAACACUGCUGUACCAUAACGGUACCAUUAUUCCUAUGACUAUAUGGGAGGCUGGUUCAUGCAUUAUUCAGCUGUGAGUUCUUCCUGUCAUUUCUCAGAGGACAGAGGUGUAACAUAGACAUACAAUCAAUCAGCCAAAACUCUGACACACACCGACCGGGGUUAGAAACCCUUACAGUGUGUGUGUGUGUGUCAAACCAAAGCAACCUUGCGAACUCAGAAUAAGGACAUCUGAAAUCAGUUCUGUCCAACUAAAUAAAUCAUGGAGGUGUUUUAGAUUUGA